rnacentral:rRNA from 1 species
GUGUGGAUUAGCGGCGGACGGGUGAGUAACACGUGGGUAACCUGCCUCAAAGAGGGGGAUAGCCUCCCGAAGGGGAGAUUAAUACCGCAUAACAUUAGUUUUUCGCAUGAAGAACUAAUUAAAGGAGUAAUCCGCUUUGAGAUGGACCCGCGGCGCAUUAGCUAGUUGGUGAGGUAAAGGCUCACCAAGGCGACGAUGCGUAGCCGACCUGAGAGGGUGAUCGGCCACAUUGGAACUGAGACACGGUCCAGACUCCUACGGGAGGCAGCAGUGGGGAAUAUUGCACAAUGGGCGAAAGCCUGAUGCAGCAACGCCGCGUGAGUGAUGAAGGCCUUCGGGUUGUAAAGCUCUGUCUUUGGGGACGAUAAUGACGGUACCCAAGGAGGAAGCCACGGCUAACUACGUGCCAGCAGCCGCGGUAAUACGUAGGUGGCGAGCGUUGUCCGGAUUUACUGGGCGUAAAGGAUGCGUAGGUGGAUGCUUAAGUCAGAUGUGAAAUACCCGAGCUUAACUUGGGUGCUGCAUUUGAAACUGGACAUCUAGAGUGCACGAGAGGUAAGUGGAAUUCCUAGUGUAGCGGUGAAAUGCGUAGAGAUUAGGAAGAACACCAGUGGCGAAGGCGACUUACUGGACUGUAACUGACACUGAGGCAUGAAAGCGUG